GUUGGUUUUUACUUAUUUAUCUCUCAAGGGCAUAAACAGGGGAUCCACAGAUGCUCCAGUGUCCCUCUAGUUAUGGUUCUGUACAAAGGGAGUCAAUCCAAGAAAGAAUUAGUGGUGGAUGCCCAAAAGAGUCAUCUUUGCUUCUUUGUGACAGAUUGCUCUGCCUGGGAAAAUGAACUACAGCAAGUGCACAGUUAACAUGAAUUUUCAUGGGGGGAAAACAAAACAGUGAUGGGUCUUCCUUUUUUAGCAAAGGGAUGUAAAAGUGGUACCUGUCUGUAGACAGGCUUUGAUACAGGAACUGGCAGGUUCUCAUUAAUCCCAGCAGCAGGGUCCCAAGGUCUGCUACUGCUGUAAAAACAUCUGCAGAAGGAUUCCUGACACAUAGCAGGCUUUCUUUUUGUUGAGACAAGAAAAGAAGCAACAACUGCCAA